CUCCUGUAGAUUAGCUGCUGUUGGCAUCCAUUUUAGGAGGCACUCGUGCCGCUCAGAGGAUAAAGAUAAUUCAGGGCUCAGUUUCAAUAAAUAAUACAUAGUCUCAGGUACAAUGAGUACCUGUAAGUACCUUCUGCGCAGCCUCACGACGUAGGUUAUCGCUCUCCCUGCAGUUCCAGAAGCUCACUGCGCACCUGUUGUUGAUGAAACCGCUCCGUGAAAGGCUGGUAUCCUAACAACCAGGAACAUUUGUUUAUAAGAUAGCUAUGGAGCACAGCUGUCAGAGUGAAAUCCUGGCUGACUGACUGACUGCAUAAAAUGCCAUGAGAAACACCUGUCUCAUCAAGGACAUUAAAAAGAUAUUCACCAGAACUGUGUCUGUUCAGACCUGUGGUUCCAACAAGAAGAAAUUCCAACAAGAAGAAGAAAUUCCAACAAGAAGAAGAAAUAAAUGAUUUUCUUUCUUUUGAGCAUUCCUCAAAUGUUAUGUUGCCAUUCACCAGCUUCUCUAGAGUUGAGGAUGAACUCAUGACCACUUGAAGGAAUAGCAAUAUGGCAAGACAUUGAAUAUGUCAUAUGUAGAUGAGGACAAAUAGGAAGAAAAAAAUGGAUACACGAGAAUGUGGUAUUACAGAAGUGAAGUGAAAAGUGUUUUAGACAGUGGGAUGGGGCCAUGUCCAAGAGAUGUGACCAUGUGACCAUCAUGAGUGGUGUGUAUCUUUAGUGGAGGAUGAUAACUCAGUAGGCUAGCACAAAUUAAUGGAAAUAUCUCUUAAGAUGAUGUAAAUUCACCUGCUUAGAUCUCAUAUAUUCCUUCUGACCUUCAUUUACUUAGGAAAUCUGCCAGCAACCAAGGCAUUUCCACAGUGCAAAUCAAUUCAGUAGGACUUGAUCACCCUUCAUGAAACAGGUUCUUAUCAUGCAAAGCAAAGGACUUAACCCUAACCCACAGUUAAGCACCUCCACAUAUAACAUCCCAUGAAGUCCAGACCUAAAGAACCAGCCAGACCUUGCCCUUCUUUAUUCAAAAAUACUGUGAGUACACAUGACAAUUUGUCAAUCAACAGACUCCUCAAUUUAUGAAUUAAUUUUGCUCAAUGCAUUUCAGGUUGAGUGUUUUCUAGUGAGCUAGGAGAUAACAUAUAAUUAAAUUUUAUAAGCCUUUCUAGAAAAAGGUGAAAGAGAAAUUAAUUUUAAGGCAUUUGUCACAUUAAAUAUGUAUUAUUAAAUUAAAACAUACUUAUGACAACAUAUAUAAUGAUGUAAAAGGUAAAAUCCUGCCUGUUCCUCUAUAAUCUCAUUUUCAUGUAUAUAUUGGUAAAGUCUUUUAGACCUCUACUCAUGCAAACACCAAUAUAAAUGCAAACACAUGUAGAAUAAAUGCAAUCAUACUAUCUACAUUGCUCUAUGUCUUAAUUUUUAUAUAACAUAUUCUCAGAAUAUAAACCUCCUUCUACGUCAGUCUAUACAAAUCUAGCCUUUUCUCUUUAAUGCCUAUAUGCUAUUUCCUACUAUAGGUGGUAUACCAUUUAUUUAUUCCUAUUGUCAGAUAAUCCUGUUAUGUCAAACACAUUUUAAUGUUCUAGAAACUCAUAUAUUUCCACCACUAGACUUUUCUGAGAACAGAGAUGAAAGGUUCAAUUCCUCUCUACAUUUCUAACUCUCAGAAUAGCCUUGGGCAAAGAGCAGGGACUCAGUAAUUGCUUCAUGAAUGAACAGUUAGAUGAUGACCAUUACAGCCCUACAUAACUCAAUACGCUUUACAAGAGCUUUCUUUAAAACAAUGAAGGCAUCCUUCUAAAAGGGACUGCUCUUUUUCAGUGUUGGAGAAGUUGUGCUCAGAUGCAGAGGGAGGUGGGAAUAAAUCACAAUUAAAACACAUUUACUUGAGUAUUUACUAUGUGCCAAGUGUUUUCAUAGUUUAACACAUUUAAUAAUCAUAGAAAACUUAAGAGUAAGACUCUAUUAUUAUCCUUGUUUCAUAGAAAGGGAAGUUGAGGCACGGAGUGAUGGAGUGACAUGCAAGAGCUUCUCCAGUGUGCAAAGGCUGGGACCCUGCCCAGAAGUGUCAUUCGCACAUGAAGCUGCCUCUCCAAUGGGAAGAAAAAGUGAUCAGUGUUAACUGGGGACGUGCUGGGAGGUGCUAAGGCAACCAGAGGGGCCCAUGCCCCUGAACAUGCACCAACAAGCUCAUUCUCUACACAUGCCCAGAGGUUGCCAACCACCAACUUAAUUUCAUUUUCCCGCCUCU